UACGAAGGGGGCUAGCGUUGCUCGGAAUUACUGGGCGUAAAGGGCUCGUAGGCGGCCAACUAAGUCAGACGUGAAAUCCCUCGGCUUAACCGGGGAACUGCGUCUGAUACUGGAUGGCUUGAGUUUGGGAGAGGGAUGCGGAAUUCCAGGUGUAGCGGUGAAAUGCGUAGAUAUCUGGAGGAACACCGGUGGCGAAGGCGGGUCUCUGGGCCGGUACUGACGCUGAGGCACGAAAGCGUGGGGAGCAAACAGG
rnacentral:rRNA from 1 species